AAAUAACACUUCUGCUCUCUCACAGCCCAACAGCCCAAGACAAAUAAGAUCCACACCUUUGCUUUCUCUCUGCUCUCUCUCAAAAGGAAAACGGUGCCCUAGGUUUCUCUCCCUGUAUUCGACAUCAAACUGAAGCCCCAAUCCUUCAAUCCUUUAGGUACUCGUAAUCUCUUGGUUCAAAUCUCUCUUCGGCCAUAUACCAGGAUUUGAAAGACUAAUUGGUAAGUUUGGGUUGAACUUGAGUCUUGAACAAGCUGAAGGCCCUUAUCGUGGAUUAUAAUUUUUACAAUUACAGCAUCCUAUGGUCCUACCAUCUUUUAGAGUGCUUACAUCACUUCAGACUGAUUUUUGGAUGGGCUCAUGCUACAAGACUUCAAGCUCCUUUUGUUUAAGAUGGUUUUAAGUAGUGUAUGUUCAGGUCUUUGAACCCUUUAUUUAGGAAUCUAUAGCUCAUUUUUGUCUAAGAUCUUGAAACAUUUUAUUUAAGAUACUAGCUUGUUUUGGUCCAAAUUAUUGGAGUUGAAAUUGUUUUAGAUGCUAAGACUUAUUUUUUUUAUGCGAUGGGCUUUAUUAUGUAUGUUGUAAACAAUACAUUUUUUGGUUGGUGUAAUUUAUGCAAUAUUAAGUAUUUAUUUGUUUGCAUAAUCGUGUUGAUGUGAUAAUUUUUUUUUUUUUUUUUGAAAUUAUUUCUUUUGUUUAUAAUGUUAAUAAUUUACAGGUUUGUCACAAAUUUUUAUCGUACCAUGAUAAAUAUGUGGUCUAUUUUUGGUAUUUGCCACAAUAUAUAUU